CCUACGGGAGGCUGCAGUAGGGAAUAUUGCUCAAUGGGGGAAACCCUGACGCAGCAACGCCGCGUGGAGGAUGAAGGUUUUCGGAUUGUAAACUCCUUUUGUUAGAGACGAUAAUGACGGUAUCUAACGAAUAAGCACCGGCUAACUCCGUGCCAGCAGCCGCGGUAAUACGGAGGGUGCAAGCGUUACUCGGAAUCACUGGGCGUAAAGAGCGCGUAGGCGGGAUAGCAAGUCAGAUGUGAAAUCCUAGGGCUUAACCAUAGUACUGCAUUUGAAACUGUUAUUCUAGAGUAUGGGAGAGGUAGGUGGAAUUCUUGGUGUAGGGGUAAAAUCCGUAGAGAUCAAGAGGAAUACUCAUUGCGAAGGCGACCUGCUAGAACAUAACUGACGCUGAUGCGCGAAAGCGUGGGGAGCAAACAGGAUUAGAUACCCGGGUAGUC
rnacentral:rRNA from 1 species